UCCCCAUUUGGUAAGUGAUAUGGCCACUUCUCCCACUUCCUCCACUAACUAGUAGUGGACUAGCCAUUCCUCCCCAUUUGGUAAGUGAUAUGGCCAUUUCUCCCACUUCUUCCACUACUUCCCUUUGUUUAAUUCUUCAUGUCAACACACGUUAAAGGUUGAGAGCGGUCAUGAAUUUCUUACGAGCUAGCGGAAUGCGUCGAGCUGACAUGUUGAGCAAAACUAGUUUAGGAACCGUUAGAAUUGGGUUGUUUUGUUCGAGUGGUUUGUCGUGGGAUCAUAAUUCCUGAUUUUCAGGCUGAUUUAUAAAAUUUAAUUAUUAUUUUUAAAUAAUAUAUAUAGUUCAAUACUUGCUUAGAACCCUAGAACACUUGAGAUUAUGGACUUUUCAUAAGACAUAUUUGGGCUUUUGUACGUAGUCUAAUAGUAAUCUAAUAGUAAAACGCUUUCGUACUAUGUGAUUUGUCUUUUUUUAAAGGUCCAUCUUAUUUUUUUCAUGUGUAAAAACUAAAAACCUUUCUAAAUGAGUAAUGUAAAUAUCUGAAACCUUUUUCCAAAGGGAGAUUCAUUCUUAAACUUGUGGGUUAACAUCUCAGUUUCCAUCUCUAAAUUAAGGUUAAGCUUUGACCCAAAUAAAUAAAUUAUAAAUUUGCAAAAGCUUUCUCGUUUUACUCCUUUGGUCUCCAUGUUCUAUUCAUCCUUGAUCCUUCUCUGUUGAUUUGUAUGGACUCAUAUGUUACGAGUGUCCACCCAUUAUGGGUAAAAAACAAGACUUGAGUGUUGAGUCUUUUCUUCUUUUUACCGAUAA
rnacentral:lncRNA from 1 species